rnacentral:rRNA from 1 species
CCCGGUGACCAGCAGUUGUGGACCGACCCGUUCCCAUUCCGAACACGGCCGUCAAACGCAACAUUACCGAUGGUAGUGGUUGUUGAGCUUCCGCGAGAGUAGGUUGUUGCCGGGG